rnacentral:rRNA from 1 species
UACAGAGGGUGCGAGCGUUGUCCGGAAUCACUGGGCGUAAAGGGCGCGUAGGUGGCCUGUGGAAGUCUGCGGUGAAAGCCCGGCGCUCAACGCCGGGUCGGCCGUGGAUACUCUCGGGCUUGAGCUUACUAGAGGCAGAUGGAAUUCCGGGUGUAGCGGUGGAAUGCGUAGAGAUCCGGAAGAACACCGGUGGCGAAGGCGGUCUGCUGGGGUAAUGCUGACACUGAGGCGCGACAGCGUGGGGAGCAAACAGGG